rnacentral:rRNA from 1 species
UCCGUAGGUGAACCUGCGGAGGGAUCAUUACCGAGUUUACAACUCCCAAACCCCUGUGAACAUACCAUUCAUCGUUGCUUCGGCGGGACCGCCCCGGCGCCUCCGGGCCCGGACCCAGGCGCCCGCCGGAGGCCACAAACUCUUGUUUUCUUUCUUCAGUGGAUUAUUCUGAGUGAUACAAGCAAAUAAAUCAAAACUUUCAACAACGGAUCUCUUGGUUCUGGCAUCGAUGAAGAACGCAGCGAAAUGCGAUAAGUAAUGUGAAUUGCAGAAUUCAGUGAAUCAUCGAAUCUUUGAACGCACAUUGCGCCCGCUAGUACUCUAGCGGGCAUGCCUGUUCGAGCGUCAUUUCAACCCUCAGGCCCCCCUUCUCGGGGCCUGGUGUUGGGGAUCGGCCGCGCGGCGCUCCGGCGCCCCGGGGCCGGCCCCGAAAUCUAGUGGCGGUCUCGCUGUAGUCCUCCUCUGCGUAGUAGCACAACCUCGCACUGGAACUCGGCCUGGCCACGCCGUAAAACCCCCCCAACUUCUGAAUGUUGACCUCGGAUCAGGUAGGAAUACCCGCUGAACUUAAGCAUAUCAAUAAGCGGAGGA